GCUGGACGCAUGUCUGCUGCUGGUGCUGACGCUGCUACUGCAGCUCUGCAGAGUUGGAUACAGACGCUGCUUUUCCCCCAAGGUUCACUCCGGCUCUUCGGAGCGACUCUGUGGCAAAGGUUCAUGGUUGAACGCUCCUGAUGUCACCGCCGUCAAGAAUAUUCAGCACCAGCAAGGGUGCGUGCGGUUGUCGCAAGUGAGGUACGCGGUGCAGGGGCGCGCAGGCCGAGGCGGCAGGACGCUGCUGGAGGGCGUCACGCUCGACCUCAAGCAGGGGCACGUCACGGCCCUCCUGGGGCACAACGGCGCCGGCAAGACUAC